UGAGAGUAUUUAAUAGAAGAGAAUCAUCCAUACAAUACUUCAAAACCUCAGUAAUACGUUUGUAAUGUACAUACAGUAAUACAUUACAUAAUGUUCAAUUUCCCAACUAAGUUAAAACAGUGAUGUUUUCAGUACUCUAGCAAAAUACUCCAAAAUAAUGACUGUAUAAAUAAUAACAAUUAAUCAAAAGCUCCUGCUGUUGAUAUUUCUCAAAGCCAAGGUGGUAGCGUGUCCCACUGCAGACCAUGUCGCAGCACGUCCACUCCAAGCAGACUUUCAUCGCCAAUGGUGCAGCAAAAGACAGCCCUAAUGUGUGAAAUAGUGUUGACAUCAAGUGACAGAGAUUCAGUGGAAAUCUCUUGACAGAAAGAAUAGGUCCACCAGUUUCUGACUUCUGUAGAAUUGCUUUGGAAGGAAGAGACCAUCUAAGUGGCCACUACAGCUACUGAAAAAGAGCUAGACAACUAAAGAUGAAAGGUUGAAGAACAGAAAGACAAACGUUAAAGAACAGUCUCUGUUCUGCUUUAUUCUUUAAUCCUGGAGUACCAACGUUUGGAUUUCAGAAGUCCUCAAAUGCACUCCAUGUUUGGAUCCUAGGUUCUGACUUGAAUUAGCUCUUGUUUUGAGACUCUGUUUUCCCUUAUCAUAGGCAUACAUUUCCACUUUACAGUGCCCCACGAUGAUUAGCCUGCCUCUUCAUUUGUUGUCCUUAUGGAUAUGGAAAAAACAAACAAAUAAACAAAAGCAAAAAACAAUAUUUGCAAUUUAGAUCAGACAUCUUUUUUUUUUUUCCUUUUAAUUAAAAGAAAAAAAACAAAACAAAACAAAACCAAAAACAGAAACAGAAAAACCCACCUCAGGCAAUGUUUUCCUUCCUAAACUUUACUAUUGUUUUAUUUGAUAAUUCCCAAAAUAAAAAACAAUUUAUCAAUUUUUUAUUGUUUAUUACUCAGUUAACCUUGAAUUUAACUGAAACGUUUAACUUUUCCAGCACUUUCCCUACAUUUGAAUGAGCAUAUCCACUGAAUUCAGAAACAGGUCCUUCCCUCACCAAAACUACAUUUGAAGGAUGGAUGGAUGGAGGGAGGGAGGGAAAGUCAGCUCUACUCAGCCUGUGAUACAAAGUGAACCAAGUAGAAGACAUGCUAAAAGUACACCAUUUUACACUACAGGUGUGAGAGCCUGUGUGCUACUAAGUUAGCCUGACAGUACGACAGCAGACAUUUUCAGCAACAACUUGCGCAUAGCAUCAUGAAUUUUACGAAUGGAUACUGGCCAAGACCACAGGUUCAUGUCCUGACAUUAAGAAACGAAGCUAUUUUUUUAUUACAAUCUUUUACACACAACCCACAGAAUAGCAUCUUGCCAUCUUACAGGUGGGCUGUUUCAACAGCUCUCAAUUUGAUUUUGCAAGCUUCUUUCAAAGGCCAAAUCACCCCUAUGCACCUUUACGCAUUGCCUUCAUUUUGCAGUAGUAGAAACCGAGGCAUCACAGGUUCGAAUCACUUGCCCAAGGUGACACAGUAAAUCUGCAACAGCCCAGCGAUAAAGCCCAGGAGAGUUAUGAGAUAAUGAUAGGAACUGUCAGCAUAUCAUUUUCCUAUUACUUCACAGUUUGAUGAGGGAUAACACAUUACAGAACCGCAGCUGUCCAUGUGAAAUUGUCAGCCUUAACUUUUCAUAUGUGCGAACUGUUUACUGAAGCAGUUGUAAAUGGACUUCACUUACAGUCUUGUGGUUUCACUUCCGUAUUUCUUGUCUAUGCAUUUUUCUUCCAAGUGCCAGCUACAAGGUAUUGUUUGCUAUAGUAUGGGUUGAAUGGGAAAUACAAAUAUGGUAAGAUAUUCAGUUUGUUCAGUUAAUCUCUUUAUCAGUCUUUACAGCUUUUUUUGUUGGUUUGUUUUAUUUCUGUUGCGAGCUUCUUCAAGCACUUGAGAUGCCUGGGCACUUCCUUGGUUGUACAUGUAACCACUUGAAACAAAUGAAUUUCAGAUUUGACUGUGAGAGAAUUCAAGCUCAAAGUGCACGCACACAACUCAGCCAGGCAAGAGAAGAGUACCUAAGGUAUUCAGUCUCACAAAUCGGAGUCUCUACUCUGCAACAGGUGCUUUUCUUUCUCAGUGUGAUAUUCCAUGCAAGUAGUUUGAUGCAGCCUUUGUCUGCUUUGCAGAAAUAUCUUUCCCCUGACCAUGAACAACAUCUCUCCAGACUAGUCUAUGGUUUUCACUGGUAGUGUUCUGCACUUCUGAGAACACUUGGCCAAAUUAAUUCCUGGCAAAAUUCUAGUUUACUUUACAAUCAAUUACACCCUAAAAGGAAACAAAACAAAACAAACCCAACAAAACAAAACCCUAUCACUAGUAGCAGUAGUGAUACCAGUAUAAAAAAAAUCCCAGUUUUGAUAAUUAAAUAGACAAAACCAAGCACAUGGUUCCACCUCGGGUUUCUCCAGGAACCAUGGGCCACUAAUACAUUCAGGGCUGUGCCAAGAGUGGGGCAGAAAGAUAGCCAGCUCUGGGUGAACAGAGACACAAAAUGGAGAAAAGAACUGUCAUAGCUUCAUGAUGCCUGGUUAUCAGUAUUCCACAUCAUAACAUCACGUAGCACUGGGAAUUAAAGAGUUAAUGCUCCAGGUCUGGGUACCUGUCCCAGAAGAGAAGAACUACUACAUCCCCCAGAGGACUGUUCACUGUUCUGUUACCAUUUCCACUCAGGCAGAGAAGAUAAAUACUAUCCACAAAACAUUUUCUGCCCUUCCCUUUUCAUCUCGGCAGUGUGGGUGCUCCCUAGAUUGUCUCGCCUCAGCAUUAGAGUAAGGCCUUCAGCUUUCGGACACUCUCCCAUUAUAUUUGAUUUACUAGCUACAAUUCUAAUUAUACUGUAUUACAGUGCAUUACCUUGCAUCCCAGUAUCUUAUUUAAUAAAAUAGUUUGUUUCUCCUCAGAUUGUUGCUGCUGUUUUGUUUUUGGGCCCUCUCUCAACCCUUUUCCCUGUUUCCCUUUUCCAGGGCGUGGAUCCGUGGGUCCCUCCACCCCGCUAGUCAUGGAACCAGGCCAAACCAGCCUCCGUUGACAAGAACAAAACACAGCAGCUCCCCAUGAAUCUGGGGCGAUCAGUGGGAGGCUGCUCCAGUGGUCCUAGGAAGGGAGGCUGCGUUGCUUUUGUGCUCCAGAAAGAAGCAUUCCUUGCUGAUGUCCUGAACGUUCCGUACCCUGAAAACAGCAGACUGAAAAUUCUUGCUUACCAGAUCAAUAGGAAAAUGACGUCAGCCAUAUCUGAUGAACCAGGAACCUGACUGUGUAACUCCACAAAGCGAGCUAUCAGGUUCAGGCUUUGGAGCUGCAGGUUUCCUCUGAGCAACAGCAACUCACCUCCAAGAUGCCAAAUGAAAAUGCACAGAGGUGGAUUGAAUGAAAGUUCUGAUACCUCAUCAUCAUGGGCUUGUUCCCUGAGCAGACCAGACUGGGACAACCAUGCAAGUGUCCAAGGGAUAUUUUGGUGACACCUUAGCUUGGUGUACUUCCUGCUCCAUUUGAGUCCUAACUUGCCCUCUAAAGCUUACAUGGGAUAUAACCCUCAGUCCCAUCUAGGGAAUGAAUUUACUAGUUCUGGCUUUCAGCUCUGUGCAUAGCUCCAAGCCUGCAGCCCCAAAGCACAGGAGGGUAACUCAGUACAAUCUCUUUCAUGCAGGGGGUAUAAGCAUGGUGUCCCUUGACACUGGAAAAAGUAGCUUUGACCCGGCCUUUGAAAAUGCAUGUCUGUACAAAUCUACAGGAUUCCUCAUCCUAGAGAAAUUCAAAGCUUCUGCUCUCUGGCAGAUAACACAUAUGCAGGUAAAUGCUGAGGUCACUGGCAAAAGAGUGUAAAUUACUGUAGUCUGAAGUGUGGUAACCAACACCCUAACUUACUCAACAGGUUUCAUUUAACUUUAAAAUAAAUGAGCCACAGCUUUAAAAAACAUCAAACAACAGCAUUAGUGUUCAUUUACUUAAAAAAGCUUUUGUUCACUGGCACUGAAAGCAUACAUGAAAAACUUAUUACAACUACAUAUUCUUAGCUGAGAAAACAUCACAACAGUUGCAGCAAAAAGCUCUCACUAAAUGCCAUCACCAGAGUCUGUUGCCUGAGAUCCAGAUUCUGCUGCUCUGGUGCAUGCUGAGAGCUCCUUCAGCCCUUCAAUGGAAUUUGUAGGCUUUUCCAAGAGUCAGGUUAACAGUAUCAGCUCCUAAAUAAGCUAAUCUUAGAAGGAAUUAAGAGAAACAAAGCUUUUUGUAAACAGCACAAUAUAUUUAAUGGGCAUAUUUGCAAAUUUCAUACCCAAUUUCAUGUAAAUGUCAUACCAGUAUUAUCGAUUUUAUCAGUGUGGGAUCUCUCACUAUUGAUCUAUAAAGCCAGCUGUCCCACUAAGGUGGAGAGGACAAAGGAGUGCCUUUGAACAAUACGCUUGGUUCUCCUGCAGAUUGACUGGGUAACUCUGGGACAGGUUUCAAAAGCGAUCUGUAACUCUGAAGGCUACAGUUUAGGAGAAAUCCAUGUGUUGUAACAGUUGCUUUCCUUGCUAAGUACUGAAAAAUGUGAACCACUAGACUGAGGACACCUUCAGCCAAGCUUCACCUCUCUUUUCCCAUCUACAAUACAGAUACAAUAUUACACUGCACUGGAUUUUUAUCCCGCAGUCCCUUAUUUAGGGGAAGGGGGGUGAAAUUAUGCCAGGAAGAUUAUUUUCAGUCUACUUACAAGAGAAACACUUUGCAAAUCACAGUUUAGAGAUUACUGCAUGGCACAUCCUAUAGACUGUAAUGUAGGAGAAAACUAAAUACGAGAUCUUUCAUCCCAAGGCACAUUUAUACAAAUGUGUUCUAUUUCAAAACUGCCUCUAAAUUAUUUCAAGAAAGCAGAGAACGUUCACUCCCCAAAGUGUUAAAUUAUGCACAGGACUCAGUUCCAGUAAAAUACUCAUUCUGAUGCUAGAUUUAUUUUUCCCUCCUCAUUAAUUGCAUGUGCUGAAAAGACCACAAAGUCCACAAUAACCUGAAGCCAUUUUACUGAAUGCUGUAAAGGUCAGUUAAGAAUGCAGCAUAAUGAAUAAGCAAGACAGUUCUUGUAUUAUAACACGCCACGAGGCCUGGAUGACACACCUUCUGUACACUCUGCUGCCCGCUUCUUUCCAGAGUGCAGUACCUCAUGAAGGAGCAAUUUUAGUCUGCAGACUAAUAACGCAAGACAAGUUGCCCAGGUUGGAAACAUGGGAGGAGUCACCUAGAAGAAUGUAGCUCCCAAUGCACUAGGUUAAUAAUUAACAAGACGGACAGAAGGAAGAAGAGAAAAGCCUGGACUGGCGGCCAAAUUUAGGGCUACCUCCAGAAGGCCCAAAUACAUUAUUGGAAUGUUCCUUUUGAGUAUACUUUAUUCAACUUAAAAAAACUACUUUGAUUUCUGUUGUAAGUGAAAAAUGUAAUCACCUCCCACAACUCCACUGAGUUGACCUUUCCUGUGGGAUACUACUCUGCAUUCCUGUAUUCCUCCAUUUCCUUGAGCCUGCUGAGCAGACGGCAAGCCAAAUUCACAACUCAAAGUCCAGUUCUUGUACUCUGACUCCUUUUCACAUGCUCAAAUGCCCUCAGACCCAAGGCUGAUAGAUAUAACUCAAGCUGGUAUGAGGACUGAAAGACUAGUGCAACUUAAGGGCUGAAAAAUGUACACUAAAGUAGCCUGAACACUACUCCAAAGAAGGCUUGAAUACUCCUUUUUGCAAGGGCAUGAUAUAUUUUGGAUUCAGAGCUGAUUUUUUUUUUUUUUCCCUAUUUUUGACUAUAAACACAUUGCAUCUCCUGAAUCUGCUGUAAAAUCUAUUGCCAUCCCAAGCCCUUCUGCUGGCUACCAGCCUCAUCCAAGUGUCUAUGGAGCAGAUCCAGCAAGCACUCCUUUCACUUCUGAAGAGACCAGACCAAGUAUUCAAACUCAGACCUACCAUUCAAACCAUCCUGCCUGAUUUCUGCCUGACAGGGCUUCAGGAUGUGCUUCCACAGAUUGGCAGCUUGAUGGGAACAGCAGUCUUCAGACUGACAAACAGCCAAAAAGCUGUAUGUGAGAAAUGACAUCUUCCUACAACCCUACUGAAAUAACUGCACUGGGAAAAGCAAAUGUGGCAAUUCUGGUACAAUACUGCCUUAGAUGUACCACCUGGCCUUACCCCGCAGCUACUUGGUGGCUUAUUGCCACCCAAACAGGUAGUGCUUCCACUUCUCCCUCUUCAGGCUGCCCUGUCAGGCCCUUUUGCUGAUCAGAACACACGGGAAAUAAUUCAGCUCAUUCACCUAAGAGAACUGCUUACUUUUCUCAAUCAGUACCACCAGUACUUCUAAUCUUCUGCAGCAUGAGUGAACUGAACUAGCUUUAUUUGUGGGAAGACAAGCAAGAGGGUCAGUGAGCCAUGGACAGAGUGGGAUCACUCACUGCUAAGACUAAGGAUGAAGGGCAUCAGCAAGUCACCUUCCUAUUGGUGCCAUAAUGCCAUUACAUCCACACAGCCCCUGCCAUGUGGCUACCAAUCCAAGAGUCCUGUUUAUUUUGUGCUGGUCUAUACCUAUGAAUAGGAAAUACCAGUGUAACAGUAACCUUGCCACAGGCCCCACCCUGCUUUAAUUCUGCCAAUGCAGAUUAAGCCAGAUCACUUCAAUUUACAGAGAAUCCUUAAGUGACACCUCUGAGAAACAUUCACAAGAAAGUAAAACCACAUUUCUCCUUAAUAUAUAUAUAUAUAUUGCUACAACUUCUUGAUUAAUAUUCAGCAUCUCUACUAAAGAGAGUCAUUGGCAUAAGUCUCGGUGUGGACACAAUUAUGGUAAUCAGAUGUGUGCUGUUUCCGGAGCUAUGGGGGAUUUGAUGCCAAUGGGGCUGUAAGUCUGGUAACAGGACACAGCCUGAGGUAUACCCUACACUAUUCAGUUCUCAGGGGUAGCAAUAAGCCAACCAACAAAACAAACAAACAAAAAUUGCUUCAGGGUUGAUAAGUAGAAUGAGUCUUGAGUAGGCUAACAAACGCAGGUAGGAGCCUGAAAGAGGAACAGAGAGACUUCAGCAUCAUUCCCUGACUCAGGCUGCUCACCAGCAAAUACCAGUCCUCACCAGCACACACAGGGGGUUCCUGGAUUUCAGUACAAGCCUUCCAGCAAGCCUAAUGCACAGUCACAGAUGGAGCUUGUUUUUCUCCCUUCUGUCAGCACAGAACCUUCCUCUCCACCUGACCUUUCCCUGCAGGACAAGCCUUCUGCUCAUCAGCCACAGGGGUCUGCUAUGAGCAUCUGUCUCUGCUCUCCUGCUCCAACACAUUUGGACAUGCAAAAGCCUCCUUCCUUUCCUUCUCCCACUCAGCCUCCGUUAUCUGCUCAUUUUAAAACUGAAAGCUGCUCACAUCUUUGUGCACACUGAGGAGAAGGGUGGAGUUGCGUUACAACUGCUGGGCAGAUGGCAUUUGCCAAUGACACUUCACAGCAAGUGUAACUCCACGCUUCUUGGAUCUGGUUGGUUUGUGCUUUCAUCGAUUAUGAUAUACAACUCAGAGCACAAAGAAGCUGCAAAUGCUGACCUGGGCAAUGGCAUGCACUAAAAGGAGCUUAGUAUACAGAUAUCCCUAUAUUCACUUAAACUGCGGGGUGUCUUAAAACACAGAACUUGAAAACCAAAUGUAGACAUUGCAGUCAUUUUUGCAGUAGAUGCCAACAGAAGUGCAAGUAAUAGGGUUAGAGUAAACAUAGGGGGAAAAAAAAAACCCACAAUCAAACUGAAACAGCUCACUUGAAGAACAUUCCAUCUGUUGAAAUAUGCUUCAUCCUCUCUCGCACUGUGGCAGCAAUGAGAUCCUUAACAGGAAAGGAAAUUUGCAGCCUAAGUGUCUCAAAAAGCUCUCAUAAGAUGUACUUUACCCAUUGCAGCAUUUUAGCAAUAAAGGUUCUUGGAGGGCCUGACCAAAAGACAACUAAAAUCUUUGAAUUGAUUGCAUGGGCAUCGGAUGUAAGGUUAAGAGUGCAAGCAUGAGAAAUCUGUUGUUUUUUUACUGAUUUACUUCCAGUGCCUCUCCCUUCCCCAGCUCCACUUACGCUUCAUCCUGGAAACAACUGUCAGGCACAAACAAAACAGGGGUCAAGUCAAUCUGCUCACUCACAGCACCAUCAAAGCAAAUGGUUGGCCGGGAACUAGCAGCGCAUACUUGAGGCUCCUGGAGGCCUGCGGUCAGUCAGUUCUCUUCACAGUGGUGGGCACUGGGGCGUGUUUUUGUGUGGUUGUGUCGGUUUCUUUUCCCCAAAUGCUUUGGUUUUGUUUUCCUUCCCCCUUUUCUGGUUGCUUGAAGAAACCCAAAUAAAAGCCAGAGGGAAAUCUUCCAGCCUACCUUUAAGAGGGAGCGGGCCAAGCAUUAGGAGCAGCGCUGUGGGAAGGAGAGGGGGGCAGCCAUCAGCUGGGCGUGAGGGGCUGUAGGAAAACGCACCUACAGACGGGGAGCUUUGUGCCCAGGUGGAGGGGGGGACGCUGUGGGUUUCAGUAGGACUUCACACCGUGACUCAGACUGCACAACGAGAAGCGAUUAUUACUGAGAGAGACACGAAGUCACAGAGCUCCAGUUCUGCCUGUGCACUCGGACAGGGCAGCGCUCAGGUGGCCGUUCCUCAGCGCCGACUGUGUGAGAGCAGCACCUCACCGCCUGUAUCGCUGCACAGCAGCGACAAAGCGCUGCCUUUCAUCGCCUCCUGGAAGUGACACAAACUGUGAGAUGCACCGCAUCUCCAUUUCAGGCUCGCUGGUCAAAAAAGUCCCGAUUUAAAAAAAAAAAAAAAAAAAAGAAGAAGAAGAAGAAAGAAAGAAAAAAGGAACGCCCCUUCUUUAAGCGUGAGGAGAAAGGGUGCAGCAAAUGAGUUUGCCACAAGCCCACGGCCAAAGAGGGCGACCCAGAACCGCUAUCCAUCCGAGCUCAUCUGGGAGACGUCGCUUUUCCAACUAAGAACGCCCCCCGACCGCUUCGAGAAUCGUAGCUCCGGAGCAGAACGCAUUUCACCCAGCGCCUCCAGCCUGAACCCGGGGACCGCACUCCCCAGGCCGCCG
ensembl:lncRNA